GAUGAACGCUGGCGGCGUGCUUAACACAUGCAAGUCGAGCGAUGAAACGAGGGCCUUGCGGCUUGGACUUGAGCCGCAGACGGGAGUGUAACGCGUGGAUAACCUACCUAUAAGUGUGGGAUGACUGGGGGAAACCGGCUCUAAUACGGUAUGAUCUAUCAAACCGUAGGGUGCAGGAGGAAAGGUCGUUUGGUCGGGGACGUAGUGAUGGACUCGCGCCGCAUUAGCUAGGUGGUAAGGUAACGGCUUACCAAGGCAACGAUGCGUAGCCGAGCGGAGCGAGUGAUCGGCCCCACUGGAACUGAAACACGGUCCAGACUCCUACGGCAGGCCGCAGUAGGGAAUCUUCCGCAAUGGGCGAAAGCCUGACGGAGCAACGGCGCGUGAGUGAUGAAGGUCUUCCGAUCGUAAAACUCUCUUACUAGGGAAGAACAACUGUGUACGUAAAUAUGCCCGUCUUGACGGUACCUAAUCAGAAAGCAACGGCUAACUACGUG
rnacentral:rRNA from 1 species